rnacentral:lncRNA from 1 species
UGUCAUGAUAAUGAGAGAUAAGUGUGAAGCGUAUAGACGCUGUGAACGCAAUGUUGUUGCGAUGAAUGAUCGGUCUUAGCAUACAACGAUUAGUAUGGCUUUGACACUAAGAACGAGUAAUGAACAUGGGGUUCAUGUAAUGGAUAACGAAAGUAAAUAAGAGAUGAAUUAUCAAGAAAGCCGUAAAGAAUAAGAAAUUGACUUAAUCAAAC